rnacentral:rRNA from 1 species
UACGUAGGUCCCGAGCGUUGUCCGGAUUUAUUGGGCGUAAGGCGAGCGCAGGUGGUUUAUUAAGUCUGGUGUAAAGGGCAGUGGCUCAACCAUUGUAUGCAUUGGAAACUGGUAGACUUGAGUGCAGGAGAGGAGAGUGGAAUUCCAUGUGUAGCGGUGAAAUGCGUAGAUAUAUGGAGGAACACCGGUGGCGAAAGCGGCUCUCUGGCCUGUAACUGACACUGAGGCUCGAAAGCGUGGGGAGCAAACAGG